UUGCUCACUUCAGCAGCACAUAUACUAAAAAAUUGGAACUACAGAGAGAAGAUUAGCAUUGCCGCUGCACAAGGGUGACAUGCAAAUUCGUGAAGUGUUCCAUUAAAAA
ensembl:snRNA U6 U6 spliceosomal RNA